CCUACGGGGGGCAGCAGUGAGGAAUAUUGGUCAAUGGUCGGGAGACUGAACCAGCCAAGCCGCGUGAGGGAGGAAGGUACAGAGUAUCGUAAACCUCUUUUGUCAGGGAACAAAGACUGGGACGCGUCCCCGGAUGAGUGUACCUGAAGAAAAAGCAUCGGCUAACUCCGUGCCAGCAGCCGCGGUAAUACGGAGGAUGCGAGCGUUAUCCGGAUUUAUUGGGUUUAAAGGGUGCGCAGGCGGUCUGUUAAGUCAGCGGGCAAAGCCCGGGGCUCACCCCCGGCCCGCCGGUGAAACUGGCAGUCUCGAGUUGGAGAGAAGUAUGCGGAAUGCGCGGUGUAGCGGUGAAAUGCAUAGAUAUCGCGCAGAACUCCGAUUGCGAAGGCAGCAUGCCGGCUCCACACUGACGCUGAGGCACGAAAGCGUGGGUAUCGAACAGGAUUAGAUACCCGUGUAGUC
rnacentral:rRNA from 1 species